UCUGUGAGGGAUGGUUGUGAUCAGUUUAAACACCAUUUUCAGUACUUUUGUUCUGUUUAAUUUAACAUCUAGUUGGCGAUUCCACAACGAUGGUUGUUUCGUAAAGCCAUUGAUUGGUGCAAUGACUUCUUCUAAAAACUGAGAAGUUUGUGCGAAUGCAAAUGAGCAUACUCUUCCAAUAAAAACACACUUUUAAUCCGGAACAGGAAAUAAGAUUCGUAACAAAUUCAGGAAUUCAGUAUGAAACUAACCGGAUUCCGAGGAGUAUUGAUUCGUAUGGUCAGCAGGAAAUAUGGCCUACAAACUGGAACAGUUUUGAGGUGCCGGAAAUAGUAGUCAAUAACUCCAAAAUGGAACACUUCAUAUUUUCGCAGCGAUGGCUUUAUCGAUAAACACAGAUGCAAAUGAAAAGAUCUGUAGUCCCAUGCAAAACUCCUGCAUUUUAUCGGGGUCCGACUUCCGGCUCCGAUGUUACCGGGUUUCAAAUUUAAAACUGCCAUUCAAGGUGACGUGGGUGUAAGUUGAUUGACAAACGAACCGGCUUUGGGUAAAUCUGCCCCGGAUAUCUGUUUUUGGUUUAUUUAUUGCGACAGUCGUUUUAAAUUAAAAAACGUGCUUAAUCCACCUAGCAGUGAGAUGAUACCUUUUUUACCAAUCCGCAUGUGUUUUGUGCAUGAAUAUUCUUCGGUGUUUCAGUUUUCAUGACAUUAUUCUAAUGUCCGUCGUUUUAAGUGGCAAUUAGAGAUUUUAAUCACUCAUUACUCUGUAAUGUCGAAACUGCAAAUCGGAUCGAAUUUGAAUCUAAAAGUGUAACAAUCGAUUAAACGUUACAUGAUAUGUCGAAGUAAUUUCCACUUUAGAGUUUAGGAUAAUUUAAGGUACUUCUAGAGCCGGUAUUCAGGAACCAGCAUAACCCAAACCGAUUCGUAGGGCCAUAUGAUAAAUCAAUUGCAAUAUUUUUGAGUCCAACUUUAAAGCUUUUCGGGAUUGUCAUUAUCUAUAUCGCCUUGAAUUUUAAAAAUUCAUCAUAGUACAAUUCCAGAAUCGGAUAAAAUUGGAUUAAUUUAAAUUUGAAUUUUUGUUUUUGAAAUUCGAUUUGGUUUUUUUUUUGAGAAAACGAUCGAAUUUUGAGAAACGAUUCGAUACUGGAACCGGAAUUCGAAAUUAGGUGUAGCCGAGGUCAGACAAAUUCUCCUGAGUAGCUGUAUAGUUUACAUUUGUUUCAAAAUGUUUGAAAAUCAGUGUAGACAUCUUUGAGAAAUCGUAGUGCGAAUUAAAUCCGAAUCGAAAACUCAUUACCACUAAAAAUGAAAUAAGUUUAUUUGGUUAUCGACUAUCCAAAUCUGCUAACCCGAUAAACCUGAUUAAUUUAUGUGAAAUAGACAUUUUUAUACUAAUCACCCUGUAUCUCCUAAACCAGAAGUCGGAUCUGACUGAAAAACAAGAUGUUUUAUAGAAUCUUAAAACUUUUCAUUUGAAUCUUAGAUCGGGAAAAAUGAGUUACACAGUUUUAAUUUCGUUUUACAUAUCAUCCUGUAGUUCCGGAACCAGAAGUCGGAACCAAACAUAAUUCAGGAACUUUGUUUGGGAGUAUACGAUUUUUCAUAUGAAUCUGAGUUUGUAGAAAAUGGUUGAGUUAUCUCCGAAAAAUAUUAAGUGAAAUUAUUUGUCACACACGCAUUUGAUGAUCUCGACGAACUGAGUCGAAUGGUAUAUGGGAGUUAUGUUCUUCCAGCAUUUAUUGCUGUAAGUAGUUUAAAUCAAUAUAAUUAUGGAAUUGCUUUUAACUCGAAAAUUCUGCCAUCAUCUGGUUUACAUAUGGCAUAUUCGAACGGUUAUGUUGCCAAAAUCGAACCGUGCUAAAAUCGGUCCGAGGCAAAAUAUCAUGCUGUACACAGUCUUUUGGGUACUUAGAAACAAAUGUAUAUAACAGUAUGAACAAUCGUGUUUUAUGUUGCUCCCAAGCAUUUCUUUGCCAGACAGCGCUCAAAACUUCUACUGCUGGAAUAGGGGAAAAAGUCGCUUACACAAAAAUUUCGAUAUCUCCGUUAAAAAUGGACGGAUUUUAACAAUCUAUGGCUUGUUGGAUAGGUAUAACCGUGCGGAAUCUAAGUCUGAAUACAUAUUUUGUUUUCAAGGUCAAUUGUGACAAAAAAACUGAAAAUUACGACAUAAAACUUCGUAUAACUCAAAAAGUAAACAUCCGAUCUCAAAACCAUUCAAUAGCGUUCUGGGUGACGGGGAGACCUUUCAUUUGCGACUAGUUUGAUCAAAAUCGGUCCAGCCAUCUCUGAGAUCUCGACCUCUUAGUUGACAACACACAUACACACACGGACAUUUGCUCAGUUCGUCGAGCUGAAUUGAUUGGUAUAUGACAUUCGGCCCUCCGGGCCUAAGAAAAUUUUUCUAAAGUUUGAGCAGAAUUAUAUAUAAAAAAUGGUAAAAAACUGAACAGUUGGUUGAAACAACUGAGAUGUUUUGCCUUUCUCUAUAGAAAGGUAUUAGAAUUGCUGAAAAAACCUACUUUCGAACGGAGCCUUGGAGUUCCAUAGUGUUAUAUACCAUUCGACUCAGUUCGACGAUAUCGGAACACAGUUUCCGAAGAUAUUUUUACCGCACAAGUUUCUCGGAGAUGGCUGAACCGAUUUUAACAAGCUUAGACUUGUUUGAAAGCUACUAUUGGGUCAUUGAUCAAGUUCGAAGAUCAAAUGGCUGCGACUUCUGGUUCCGGAGAUAUGUUGGUAUAAGUGACGUAACCGACAAAACACAUUGUUUUUUAUCGCUCUAAUGUAUAUAAGGGUGCCAAUAUUUUGGAAUCACCUCUAAUUUCGUUGAGCGCUGUUGUUUAAAAGUUUAAGCACUACGAAAAAAAUCCCUAUGCAAAAUUUAAGCUAAAUCGGACAUAGUAAAGGGGUGCUACCCGGCGGUUCAGGUUUGAAAAUUUUUGAUAUUGAAAAAUUACCAUA